GUGAAACUGUUAAGUCAAACUGUUAAGCAGAACUCUGGUUGAUAUAAUGUAUAUUUUCUUGUCUGUCUUGCCCUCGCUACUGUUUUAUUUAAGUGGAGUUCCAAGAGACAUGGUUUUGGGAGUUUCAAAGCAAGACAAUUGGUCUCCCUGAAAAACCUGUGCUUGAAAAAGAAUUAUGAAUACAGCGGACACAAGAAAACUCUUGCAACUUUUCUUUUUUUUUUAUGUUUAUUUUUUUUCGCUUUUAUUUUUUUAUUUUUAUUUUUUAAUAUGAAAUUUAUUGUCAGAUCAGUUUCCAUACAACAGCCAGUCUUGCAGCUUUUCUACACGAAUGGAUGGAGUAGCAAUGGGAACAAAUACAUUACCGAUGGAACUUCAGAAGGAUCUCAGCCAUGAAUACAGGCAUUCUUUACAUUCCAAUUCUGAAGAAGGUAAAAUAGACUUAUUUCUAUUUUGCCAAGCUUUCAGAAACACCAAAUUAGAAACAAGCCUAUUGUCUUCCACACAAUUUCUGCACUGUGAAGAAUGAAAAACGCGACCAGAGUGCCUGCGUGCCGAAAACGGGAAAAGAAAGAAAGGAGAAGAAUCGAUUGUAAGUUGUGUAAGGAAUGCCACCUCUGGGUCCAGUGCACCGAAAGUCAAGAGUCACUCUUCCAUCAUGGAAAGAACCCCUCACUCCACCUUAAGGACACUAACGGACACACCAAACAGGCGUAGAUUUAUACAAGUAGAAUUAUUCUUAGACAUAUACAGGGGACAUUGAAUGAACGUAAAACUGACAAUCUUUUGUCUUGGGAUGAGUGAGUGAAUUGCUCUUUAAAAGAAUAAACUGGGGGCGCCUGGGUGGCGCA
rnacentral:lncRNA from 1 species